CAUUAAAAAUGCAAAUGAUUUUUUAAUAGUGAGUUUGUUUGUAUCGGGACAUGUAAGACCCAUAGAUUGCAUUUGAUUGAUAUUUCCUUUAAGUUCAUAGGUUUCCCUCCCCACCCCUUGCAAUUAUUGUUGAAGAAAUUGGGCAGUUUAUCUUGGAUCUUGCUGAUUGCAUUCCCAUAAUGUCAUUUUACACAUUCCUCUGUCCCCUGUAUUUCCUGCAAACUGGUAGAUCUAGAGCCUUCUUGAGAUUCAGGUUUGGUUUUUCUUGUUUGCCAGGAGUACUUCACAGGUGGUGCUGUGUCAGGAGUCACAUGGAAUCAUUUUGUGGUGUGAGCAGCCGUCGAUGAUCAUGCCCAGAUCCAUUAAUUCAUUAGCUGCCAUAUGGCUUGAUGUGGCACUGCUCCUUGCAGCAGCUGGGAAAAAGAGUGCCUUGGUCCUGAAGGAGACAUCUGGGUGGUACAUCACAGCAUCCGUGACACACAAGAAGUAAAGCCAGGUUUAGAACCCAGGCAGUCAGAUUCCACAGCCUGGAUGCUUAACCGCUGCCCUCUACUGCUUGGAAGCAUCUAGAGGAAGUAUUUUGAAGAGCAAAACAGACCGAAUGUCUGGAUGUUUCCUUCCUGUGGCCCUGCACUCACUUGGAGAAACAUUUCGAUCAAAUUCGAGCAGACGGAAGCCUGGUUGUUUUCUCUGCAGGAGGAUCAUGAAGAAUCUGCUAGCCUAGAACACAAGGAUCUUGAGACAGUUUCUCAUCUGCAGAAAGGGCGUUGGACUUAUUCCUCACUCUGCCGGCCACAAGAGUGAGGAGGAUGGACAAGAAUGGGAUCCGCUCUCAGGAGCUAGGAUGGACAGCUGCAGAAGGUCACACAGGUAGUUAGUGUUGGGGCUGGCAUUUUUGACCUCACACAUGGCAGACCCGACGCUAAGAAGGAGGGUGGCUCUUCUGUCUUGGAGCCCUCUCAGAUUCAGGGAGUGGUCAGCACAGCCUCCCUGAGCUUCCAUGGGCCCUGCCCCCACCCCCA
rnacentral:lncRNA from 1 species